rnacentral:rRNA from 1 species
UUUCUUAAGAUUUUCAUUUAAGAUAUCUCCUGCUCAAUGUUAAAAUAAAUAGCCGCAGUUUCACUGUGCUAAGGUAGCAUAAUCACUUGCUUUAUAAUUCAAAGAUCGUAUGAACGGACCAACGAUUUAAAACUGUCUCAACACACUAAAUUAAAUUAAUUUUUAUGUAAAAACCCAUAAAUACAUAAUCAAGACGACAAGACCCUAACAAACUUACACAAUUAGUUGGGGCAACAAAAUAACAAUCUUUUAUUUAAUCCCACCCCAUAACCCUUCAACAAUAGAUAAAGAACAGUUACUGUAGGGAUAACAGCGCAAUCUUUCUUAGGAGCUCUCAUCUAAAGAAAGGCUUACGACCUCGAUGUUGAAUUAAUUUUACUAAAAAGCGCAAAAGCCAUUUAAGUUAGUCUGUUCGACUACUAACAAAUU